GCCUGAGCUCAGUAGCAAUACUGUAGCCAGUGAGGUUUAUCAGAGGCACAAUACUUUCUAAUUGAAAACUUUUCCCAAUACCCUGCCUUAAGGGCUUGAAACAAAGAAAGUCUCUCAGUCCCUUCAUUUGUAAAAAAGGGA